rnacentral:rRNA from 1 species
UGGGGGAUAUUGCACAAUGGGCGAAAGCCUGAUGCAGCGACGCCGCGUGGGGGAUGAAGGCCUUCGGGUUGUAAACUUCUUUUGCUCUGAACAAGGCGCACCAUGGGGUGUGUUGAGUGUAGGGGUUGAUUAGCGCCGGCUAACCACGUGCCAGCAGCCGCGGUAAUACGUAGGGCGCGAGCGUUGUCCGGACUUAUUGGGCGUAAAGGGCUUGUAGGUGGGUGGUUGCGUCUGUCGUGAAAGCUCAUGGCUUAACUGUGGGUUUGCGGUGGGUACGGGCUGGCUUGAGUGCAGUAGGGGAGGCUGGAAUGCCUGGUGUAGCGGUGGAAUGCGCAGAUAUCAGGAGGAAUACCGGUGGCGAAGGCGGGUCUCUGGGCUGUUACUGACACUGAGGAGCGAAAGCAUGGGGAGAGAACAGG